rnacentral:rRNA from 1 species
UGGGGAAUCUUGGACAAUGGGCGAAAGCCUGAUCCAGCGACGCCGCGUGGGUGAUGAAGGCCUUCGGGUUGUAAAGCCCUGUUGAGGGGAAAGAAAACGUUGGGCGCAAAUAGCUCCCGACCUUGACGGUACCCCUCCAGAAAGCACCGGCUAACUCUGUGCCAGCAGCCGCGGUAAGACAGAGGGUGCAAACGUUGCUCGGAAUUACUGGGUGUAAAGCGCGUGUAGGCGGGCCAACAAGUCAGAUGUGAAAUCCCUGGGCUCAACCCAGGAACUGCAUUUGAAACUGCUGGCCUUGAGUGGUGGAGAGGGAAGCGGAAUUCCUGGUGUAGAGGUGAAAUUCGUAGAUAUCAGGAGGAACACCGGUGGCGAAGGCGACUUCCUGGACACCAACUGACGCUGAGACGCGAAAGCGUGGGGAGCAAACAG